GACGAACGCUGGCGGCGUGCUUAACACAUGCAAGUCGAACGGAAAGGCCCUGCUUGCAGGGUACUCGAGUGGCGAACGGGUGAGUAACACGUGGGUGAUCUGCCCUGCACUUCGGGAUAAGCCUGGGAAACUGGGUCUAAUACCGGAUAGGAGCCAUUUUUAGUGUGAUGGUUGGAAAGUUUUUUCGGUGUAGGAUGAGCUCGCGGCCUAUCAGCUUGUUGGUGGGGUAAUGGCCUACCAAGGCGGCGACGGGUAGCCGGCCUGAGAGGGUGGACGGCCACAUUGGGACUGAGAUACGGCCCAGACUCCUACGGGAGGCAGCAGGGGGGAAUAUUGCACAAUGGGCGCAAGCCUGAUGCAGCGACGCCGCGUGGGGGAUGACGGCCUUCGGGUUGUAAACUCCUUACGCUAGGGACGAAGCUUUUUGUGACGGUACCUAGAUAAGAAGCACCGGCUAACUACGUG
rnacentral:rRNA from 1 species